UACGUAGGCAGCGAGCGUUGUUCGGAAUUACUGGGCGGAAAGAGUGUGUAGGCGGGCGUCCCAGGCUGGUGUGAAAUCUCCCGGCUUAACUGGGAGGGUGCAGCGGAAACUAGAAUGCUAGAGGGUGGGAGAGGUAAGCGGAAUUCCUGGUGUAGCGGUGAAAUGCGUAGAUAUCAGGAGGAACACCUGUGGUGUAGCCAGCUUACUGGACCACUUCUGACGCUGAGACACGAAAGCGUGGGUAGCGAACAGG
rnacentral:rRNA from 1 species